rnacentral:rRNA from 1 species
AUUGAACGCUGGCGGCAGGCCUAACACUUGCAAGUCGAGCGGAUGAAGGGAGCUUGCUCCUGGAUUCAGCGGCGGACGGGUGAGUAAUGCCUAGGAAUCUGCCUGGUAGUGGGGGAUAACGUCCGGAAACGGGCGCUAAUACCGCAUACGUCCUGAGGGAGAAAGUGGGGGAUCUUCGGACCUCACGCUAUCAGAUGAGCCUAGGUCGGAUUAGCUAGUUGGUGGGGUAAAGGCCUACCAAGGCGACGAUCCGUAACUGGUCUGAGAGGAUGAUCAGUCACACUGGAACUGGGACACGGUCCCGACUCCUACGGGAGGCAGCAGUGGGGAAUAUUGGACAAUGGGCGAAAGCCUGAUCCAGCCAUGCCGCGUGUGUGAAGAAGGUCUUCGGAUUGUAAAGCACUUUAAGUUGGGAGGAAGGGCAGUAAGUUAAUACCUUGCUGUUUUGACGUUACCAACAGAAUAAGCACCGGCUAACUUCGUG